GAUGAACGCUGGCGGCGUGCCUAAUACAUGCAAGUCGAGCGAACAGACGAGGAGCUUGCUCCUCUGACGUUAGCGGCGGACGGGUUAGUAACACGUGGAUAACCUACCUAUAAGACUGGGAUAACUUCGGGAAACCGGAGCUAAUACCGGAUAAUAUAUUGAACCGCAUGGUUCAAUAAUGAAGGGCGGCUUUGCUGUCACUUAUAGAUGGAUCCGCGCCGCAUUAGCUAGUUGGUAAGGUAACGGCUUACCAAGGCAACGAUGCGUAGCCGACCUGAGAGGGGGGUCGGCAGCACUGGGACUGGGACGCGGCCCAGACUCCUACGGGAGGCCGCAGUGGGCAAUCUUCCGCAAGGGGCGCAAGAUUGACGCAGCAACGCCGACGGAGUGAUGCAGGGCCUCGGAUGGUUAGAAGCUGUGAUGCGGGAAGACCAAAUGUGUACGUAGCUGAGCACGUCUGGAAGGUACCUACUCAGCAAGCCCCGGCUAAGUAAGUG
rnacentral:rRNA from 1 species